rnacentral:rRNA from 1 species
GACGAACGCUGGCGGCGUGCCUAACACAUGCAAGUCGAGCGAGAAAGUCCCUUCGGGGGCGAGUACAGCGGCGAACGGGUGAGUAACACGUGGGCAACCUGCCCCAACGGAGCGGGACAACCUCGGGAACCGGGGCUAUACUGCAUGACCCGCCACGGCUCAAGCCGUGUCGGCAAAAGGUCGCUUCGGCCUCCGCCUUGGGAUGGGCCCGCGGCGCAUUAGCUUGUUGGUGAGGGUAACGGCCCACCAAGGCGACGAUGCGUAGCUGGUCUGAGAGGACGAUCAGCCACACUGGGACUGAGACACGGCCCAGACUCCUACGGGAGGGCAGCAGUGGGGAAUCUUGCGCAAUGGGCGAAAGCCUGACGCAGCAACGCCGCGUGAGGGACGAC